CGAGGCUCGAUUCAAGACCAAGUUAGCCUACUUAAAGUCUAACUGCGAAAACAGGAUAAGGAGCUACAUGAGAGACGUAAAGCCAAAACAGCUAUUUUUAGGUCAGGGGGUGCACUCUCGCAGUAAGAGUUUCCUGUCUCUGUUAACAGCUGGAUGAAGCUACCAAAGCUGUGCAGAAGACUUAAGUUCGAGAAGAAUGUGUGCAGGCCUCAAAGAGCUCAAGUGUGACAAAUACAACGGCUGCUACUUUGACCGCUCUCAAAAAGAGAAGCACCGCAUCUGGACAAGAAAAGGAUGGUUUACCUGCCAGGGCUCCUUUGCCCAGCCCAAGUGUGCUUGGCUCCACUCCAUCAAUCCCUACAGCAGCAGAGAGAGUCGCAUCAUGUUCAGCACUUGAAUCUGGACCACAGGUUUUACAUUCCGAAACAAUCUAUAAAAUAAUGUCUACUUCUGUUUACCAAGGAUUAAAAAGAAGAGGACAAUCAUUCCCACUCCUAUGGGUGCGCUUCAGAACCACAAAAGUCACUUGUGACAACCUGAAGCUGGUCCACAUCGUGUGCCACAAGAAAGAAGCACAAAACCUGCAGUGUGAGCCAAAGAAGAUCUUCAAAGCAGACAACGUACGGUCAAUGAGAGAGGCGCCCGCUCCAUCUGCCUCAAACCCACCGGCCACGAGAAGGCACGCGUCACGGUGGCUCUUGCAGCCAAAGUAGACGGGACAAAGCUGAAGCCUUACGUUGUGUUAAAAGGUGCUGUCCGUGAUGUAAAGGCUAUCCAGAGCAUCACCGGGGUGAUCAUAGCUUCCUCCAAGAAUGGCUGGUUUAAUGAUGACCUGACAAAGGAUUGGCUCCAGAGGGCAGUGGGGAAAUGUAUCUUCGGACCGAGGCUACUUGCAUGGGACUCGUACCGAUGCCAUAUCAGUGAGGCCACGAAGGCAUAGCUCAAAAGGGGCUACAACCUUACAAUGGCUGUUAUAUCUGGAGGUUGCACAAAGUACCUACAGGCCCCCGAUGUUGUGGGGAAUGGCCCUUUCAAAACGCAGCUCCGCGACUACUACGAUAACUGGAUGGCUGGUGAUAAAGACAAUACCUACACCAAGUCAGGGAACCUGAGAGCCCCUUCCCCCGCCUCCUGGUCGACUGGGUCCUGGGAGCCUGGGAUGCUCUGGAUCGGGGGACACUGAUCAACUCAUUCAAGGUGCAUGUCUUUGGAGGUGGGAGGAAGCCGGAGUACCCGGAGGGAACCCACGCAGUCACGGGGAGAACAUGCAAACUCCACACAGAAAGAUCACGAGCCCGGGAUUGAACCCAGGACUACUCAAGACCUUUGUAUUGUGAGGCAGAUGCACAAGCCCUUCUACCACCGUGAUGCCCACAUUUACUUUCAAUGAAUUGUAAUUUUGUGUCAAUUGCGACAAGGACCGCAGAGUCCAACAGGUCAGCUUUUAAUUCUGGUAUUUAGCCUUUCCUGUUUAUAUCUCCUGCGAAAGCAACGUUUUUGACUGAAGCGCCUUCUCUUUUGGUUUUGCAGCAACAAAGUAACCCCUCAUCCAUUAGUUAGAUGGAUAGCACUUUAUUGAUUCCUUCAAGAGAGUUCCCUCAGGAAAAUUAAAGUUUUAGUUUCAGGAUGUCGUUUCAGUUAUUAUUGUUCUCAACUACUACUACAGAGGAAACCAAAUAGCCAGACAAAGAGAGUUGUGCUUGUGUACUCUGGAAAAAAAAAUUCAAGACACCAUGUGAUGUAGUGGCCACGCACGGUCAUAAUUCAGGUUUAUGUGACAAUAACACAUUCCAGGACUUUCAAGAUCAAUUUCCAGUUUUUCCAGUACCCUUCAUAAGGCGAAAACCAGCGUGAAUCAAUCCAAACCCUUGUGGUUUGGAGGUCACCAAAUGCUUUUUCCAUUUUAUUAGAAAAUGGAUGGAUGAUUAGCCUAUUGAGUCAGACUGCUGAGAAAUAUGAUGAACAUUUCCAAGCAUUUAAAAGCACCACCCAUCCAUCCAUUUUCAAGGGUCGCGGGGGUCACUGGAUCCCAUCUCAGCUGCAUUCGGUAGGUAGGUGAGGUACACUCUGGACAAGUCGCCACCUCAUCGCAGGGCCAACACAGUUCACCCAAAAUUCAAGCAUUUUUCAAACCUUGAAAACACAACAUUAAAAUCCAAGCAUUUUCAAGGUUUUUAAGCACCCUGUAUGAACCCUGUUUAUGGCUCACAAUAACACAGCACAUGACUAACUAAACUACAACAAGAGGCAACAAGAGCGCCAGCUAGCCCGGGUGAGGAGUCAGUUAAGAAAGAACUAACUAGGACCAGGAUGAAAAGUUCCUGCACACAUAGUACUGUAUUUUUCGGACUAUAAGUCGCAGUUGUUUUCAUUGUUUGGCCGGGGAUGCGACAUGUACUCCAGAGCGACUUAUGUGUGAAAUUAUUAACACAUUACCGUAAAAUAUCAAAUGAUAUUAUUUAUCUCAUUCGCGGAAGAGACAGAGAAAAUAUCAGCAAUCGUCACACACACGUCAACCAAUAAGAAUUCGGCGGGGGAGGGUCAUGGCAGAAGUGCAUUGUGGGUCAUGGGAUGCUAACUGCUAUAUGCUAUAAGUUACUGCCGUAGCUAUUAAAAUGAAUCAUUUCAUCGUUGGUGGUAACUUAUAAAAACUGAGAUGGGCUGAACAAAAAUUGGACCGAAAAGAAAAUCAUGUACUGCAGAUUACAAGCUGGACGUAGUGAAAUAUGCAGCAGAAAACGACAAGAGGAAGCGGCGCAUACCUUUGGAGUUGGCAGAGUUGUUUAGAAGCCACCUCGAGGAAGAAGAUUUCAUCGGAUUUAUCGAUUAGGAGUGACAGAUUGUUUGGUAAACGUAUAGCAUGUUCUAUAUGUUAUAGUUAUUUGAAUGACUCUUACCAUAAUAUGUUAGGUUAACAUACCAGGCACCUUCUAAGGUGGUUAUUUAUGAGUCAUAUAACGUACACUUAU